CCUACGGGAGGCAGCAGUCGAGAAUCAUUCACAAUGGGGGAAACCCUGAUGCAGCGACGCCGCGUGAGUGAAGAAGUAAUUCGUUAUGUAAAGCUCUAUCAGCAGGGAAGAAAAUGACGGUACCUGAGUAAGAAGCCCCGGCUAACUACGUGCCAGCAGCCGCGGUAAUACGUAGGGGGCCAGCGUUAUCAGGAUUUACUGGGUGUAAAGGGAGCGUAGACGGCAGUGCAAGUCUGGAGUGAAAGGCUGGGGCUCAACCCCCGGACUGCUCUGGAAACGGUACGGCUGGAGUGCAGGAGAGGUAAGUGGAAUUCCUAGUGUAGCGGUGAAAUGCGUAGAUAUUAGGAGGAACACCAGUGGCGAAGGCGGCUUACUGGACUGUAACUGACGUUGAGGCUCGAAAGCGUGGGGAGCAAACAGGAUUAGAUACCCCAGUAGUC
rnacentral:rRNA from 1 species